rfam:Dichomitus squalens LYAD-421 SS1 unplaced genomic scaffold DICSQscaffold_24, whole genome shotgun sequence.
UGCCCCAUGGCUGAGUUGGUUACAGCGUCCGACUGUUAGGUCAUCGGAAGGUCGUGAGUUCGAGCCUCACUGGGGCAG